rnacentral:rRNA from 1 species
CCUACGGGAGGCAGCAGUGGGGAAUAUUGCACAAUGGGGGAAACCCUGAUGCAGCGACGCCGCGUGAGCGAAGAAGUAUUUCGGUAUGUAACGCUCUAUCAGCCGGGAAGAAAAUGACGGUACCUGAGUAAGAAGCUCCGGCUAAAUACGUGCCAGCAGCCGCGGUAAUACGUAUGGAGCCAGCGUUAUCCGGAUUUACUGGGCGUAAAGGGAGCGUAGGCGGCCUGCCAAGUCUGAUGUGAAAUACCGGGGCGCAACCCCGGGGCUGCAUUGGAAACUGGCAGGCUGGAGUGCCGGAGAGGGAGGCGGAAUUCGUGGUGUAGCGGUGAAAUGCGUAGAUAUUAGGAGGAACACCGGUGGCGAAGGCGGCUUACUGGACCGUAACUGACGUUGAGGCUCGAAAGCGUGGGGAGCAAACAGGAUUAGAUACCCCUGUAGUC